GGGAAUUAUCUCACCACCUACGUACGGGAGCCCGAACAAAAGGCUCUGGCCAUUUUAUGGACCCAGGGGUGGGGAUGGGGGUGAGCUGGAGAGGGGAGGACUAGGUGUGGGAAACAGUGAAUAUUGAGUCAGAGAGAAAAAAGAGGCUUCAAGUGUCCUCCCCAGUGAGGAGGCCUCCGCAGAAUGACCCGAUGAAGAGACCUCCUCUCUCUGAAUGCAGGGAGGGCUAGAGAUGCAGAUAUGCAUAAGCGCAUGGUGCUGAGGAUGGAGUGACUGAGCCCUUGACUGCAGCUCCCUUCAGAGACUGCAGUUUACUGGCUGCACACAGUCUGGUGUGGGGAGGACAAUUUUUCCCUGUGAAGCCUGCCAGGGAGCUGGUUUGGAUUAAAGUCACAUACAAACUGAGCCAUCUCCAACAUCUACAUCAGGAAGUAACUCUAACUCAAGAUAGAGGUCACUGGAGGGGCAACAGGUGCUGAGAUGUCUAUGCAGGCAAGUCUGAGGUUAGCCUCCCAGAGUUUCGGGGAAAAGCACACAGGCAUUCCUGAACACUCUGAGAGGUGCAGAAAAGUGGCUGAGCAGACAGACACAAGGUCUGGCAUGGAGGCAGAGGAUCACAGCGGAGCAUGGACCUAACAGCUGGAUGCCGUGUGGUGAUAUCACUAUCAGCAGAAGAUGCAACAAGACCGGGGCCACUGCUCAAGGCCAGAGAAACAGGUUUGUAGGGGCCAGUGGGUCAGCGGUGACCAUAGAAGACAGUCUUCUCUACUUUGAUAGCAAAACAAUGCGUAAGGCACCUGAGGAACUCAGAUUACAACCAGGGAGAAGAAAAUCAGAGGUACAAGGUGGGAUGCAUCCUGAAUUGGUAGAGGAGAUACCCCAGAGUGUUCUACCAGAGUUGACAGAAUUACCUUGAAUAAAUAAGAAGAAGGUAUUUUAUUACCAACAGUCUCAUGGGCUAAGUUUAAGUACAGAGGAAUAAAGUUAUAUCUUUACACACUUGGGUGUGUGACAAUGUAAAAUGUCAACAUUAUACUUCCCAAUGGACUAUGCCAUGCAGAAGGCAGAAAGAAGUCAAAAGCCUGUUCUUUUUUUUCCCAUUCCAUAGUAAAUAGCAGAAAUUAUUCCCUUUGUUAAUCUAAGCAUACACCAGUCUGUAGGUUCAUAAUGAGAAAUAACUUUUUGUUCUUUGAUUUUUUUAAACAAAAUAUAGAAUUUAUAAGACAAACCCUUUUUGGUUUGUGUUUUAUUCCACCUUCUUUUAGCUAGAUUUGAAUGAAAGCAAAAUAAAGCUAUGUAUUGAAUAAAUAUGUUAACUCCACAGUAUUUUUGAAUAUAUAUUUUUCAUGGUAUAGUUCCAACUUUCAUUGGUGAUAUUGAUAUGAAAGUCAGAUUUACUGAGAGGUAAUGUUCAGCCUUGGAAGCAUCACCAAAAUGUGUAUAUAAGGCCUUUGUCCACUAAUGAGUGUCCUUUUAUGUGACUGGUUUUGUAAAGCCUUACACUGUGAAUGGACCGUCAAUCAACUCGCAGCUGCACUGAGGCCUUCGGAUGGCUGUAUCCAUGGCAACGUGCCAAAAAUGGCGGCGCAAAUUAAUCCAUUUGUGUGAAAUUCUCAGUGAGAGUCCACUUUCAUCUUUCAGAAACUACUGUUAGGAAGUCUGAUGAUAAUGUAAAAUACUAAGCAAAAGCAAAAUAGUGAUGGACUAUCCACAGGAUCUUCUCCCUGUAAACAGUGGGACUUCUUUUCCUUUUUAUCUGCUAGAGAUGACAGAGCAGAGUUGGGGAUGUAAUAUUACCACCAUAAUGUUCUUUUUACAAAAAAAGUUACAUUAAUUUAAUGUUCACAUAUAGGCUUCUUUUUCACCUUCUCUCACAAUGCUAUCUAAUCAGCCUGGAAAAUAAGUACAAUGAUUUACACAGUGGUA
rnacentral:lncRNA from 10 species